AGACAGAAAACCUCAUAUAUCUCAGUACCUCCUUCUCUUUCUCUCUCAAAUUCAAACCCUAAUGAAAAUGAAAACCUCAUAUAUUUCAGAUUCACAAUAGAAAAUCGCAAACUAGAAAUAAGAGAAAAAUUUGAAUACCUUGACCCAAAAAAGGUGUUGCAAUCGGAAGGUGGAUCGUGCGGGGGGCGGGAGGCUGGUUUUCGGUGCUGUUUGGAGUGUCCUUCGCCGGAGCGUUGAACAGAGGUUGAUGGCGUCAGGUAUACGGAGGUGCUCGAGAUCUGAAGUCGUCCCCUUUCUCUUUCGGAGCGUCGUUAUACACUGAAAAUGAUCUUGCUGCCAGGAUACCACAGCCUGAUGUCGUCUUAGCUCAUCUACUGCAAAGCUGAACAUUUCUAAUGUCUGGAACGAAUCGAAGCUACUUCUGAUUCCUCCAUCUGAUACCGGGAAUGCAUACCAAGUGUUGGAAUGUCGGCUCAUAAUUUACGUCAAAUAAUGAAGAAGGUAUUUCUUACUCGGUCAUUGCACUAUAUAUUCAGUUUAUUGAUUUUUGCAUUGAAUAUAAACUAUCAUGGAUAGCUUGGAUAAAAAAGCAAUUCAUUCUGAUAUAGAAGCAAUUCAUUCUAAUAUAGAUACCACUAUUUUUUCAACUGAAGAUAAAUAUAUUACAUGGCAGCCUAUUAACAUUAAAUAAAUUACAUGGCAGCCUAUUCACUUGAAUAUAAACUAUUAUGGAUAAUUUGUCUAUUAAUUUGCCUUGAAUCUAUUGCACUUGAUGUCAAUUGUCAAAUCCUACUGAUGCAGUAGUCCUUACUUGGACCUACUUAUUGAAACUUUACGCAAAAGUUGCUUUUCAACUGUUGUGUUCAAAGGUACAACUGUUUUCACUUUGCCUUUAGCUGCUCUUUAUAUACCUUAAACCACUAAACUAAUCCUUGGUCCCCGCGCCUGUUACAUCACUGUCAACUAUCAGAAAACAAUUACUUUUUGUACCAAUCUUACUUGCAAAAUUUCCAGCUUUCGAAUGUGCACGUUAUUUAGAUACCAAUUGAGUAUAUCUUGUAGCAAAAGAUCACCCUGGAAUUCUGUCUAUCACAGUGAUGCCUCAUUUCUAUGCAAUGUGUUAUUCUUAGUUCCAUCUCAAUUAUUCUUUUACCUUGGUUAGUUACUCUCCUUGUCGAAUUUAAACCGCAAAUUU